rnacentral:lncRNA from 1 species
GUGCCAGCUUCUUUACAUCACUUUCUGGCAUUCUCCAUAUUCCCAGUUAACUUGAUUGUUCCCAGCUGUGUUGAGGAAUGACCUGCCAGUUCUCUAUUGUGUCCUUUCUUGAGUCCACCUGUCCAUGGACAGUACUAUCUCCCACGAAAGCCAUUCUUAGAUUAGGGGCCAGGUAAACUGCUAACUUGCUGCCUUGUCUCUGCCAGGCUGUGGCUUCCAGAAGGGCCGGGACUGUGUUGAAUUCUUGUAUCUCUGCUUCACCCCAAGCUGCCUCAGAGCUCUGCUUUUCUCUCCUUCCCUCAGCUCCAGUAACAUUAAACUCUUCUUUACUCCUAAAAACUACUCCAUACAUUCUUGUCACAUAAACCUUGUGCCUUUUUGCUCCCUCCUGACUCUUCACAUAUUCAUUCCUUGUACCCUUCAGAGGCGGCAAAUUUAUCAUUCUCUCUCAUUUCUCUUCCUCUGCCAUUUAUCAUAGACUAUGCUGUGUUAGUCAUGUAGGCAAAAGUCUAAUGCACUGGUUUUUAGAUUUUGUGUGUGGUGGGGAGGGCAGGGUAGCUGUUAGCCUACCACCUAGAAUAAUGCACAUGUAGGUACUCAGUAUAUGUUGAGUGACUAAAUACUAUGUCUUCAGAAAGGUUUUGAGUAGAAAAAGAAAGAGACCCAAGAGCGGUGACUAAAGAAGCCUACACUGGAAAUGUAAAGAAACUAUUAACACAUUUCUUUAUGGAAUUUCUGCAUUUGCCACAGGCGGUCAGUGUUGCUUAUGGCGAGCACCUGGUGCAGGAGCACCUGUACGAGCCAGCAGGGCUUGUGUUUGCCCGCUGUGGGGCCCAUGAGAAGGCUCUGGAAGCGUUUUUGGCUUGUGGCAGCUGGCAGCAAGCCCUUUGUAUGGCUGCCCAGCUUCAGAUGGCCAAAGACAAGGUGGCUGGCCUUGCUAGAACUCUGGCAGGAAAGCUGGUCGAGCAGAGGAAACACAGUGAGGCAGCAACAGUCCUGGAACAGUACGCCCAGGUGAGCUCUUCCCUAGAUACCACACCAACAAGAGACUUUCCUGUGCCUGCUGAUGGGAAAACUGAAGGACUCUGCUAAUGGUUAGCUCUUGAGGCAGAGUUGGUUCUAAAGGAGCCAUUUGCUGACUUGCCUUGCAAAUUUCAGUCUGGUGUGUCUCUGAGUGCAGACUGCUUACCCUGCAUCCAAAUCUGCAGUGUUGGAGAGCCGAUAGGGAUGCCAUAGCUGUGAAAUCCUGUUCCCGUCUAUAUGUGGCAGGUUGUGCUCAGAGUGCAGGAUCAUUUGGAUAUGGGGUGUGCGUAGGAAAUAUAGAUGUGUUUCUUGCUUAAACCUCCCCAAGAUAAUGCAAAUAUUCUAAAAUCUGAAAAAAAAAACCCAAGUACUUGAAGUCCUAAGCUCAUAUGCAUUCUUUGCUGUAGUGUGUGCUAGUGGUCUGAUUCAGUAGAAAGCAAACUCAGCUUCCUGUGUUAACUUUGGCAAAGAAGUAGUGAGCCAGGGCCUUAGGUUUCAAACCAGGACAAGUGGCUGAGGUAUCAGGUUCUUCCUGCGAUGCCUCAGUCCCUACCUGUUACAGGGUCCUCCUGGCUGCCAUACCCUGCCUCCUACCCUAAACUCUCCAGCCCAGGAUGCCGGGCUGCUCUCCCCUGUAUAAUCCAACUGUUUGGGUUACCCACUCUCUUUGUAUAAUGAGUUUUAGCCCCAAAUGAAUGAUAAAAAGAAAGGAAA